GAUGAACGCUGGCGGCGUGCCUAAUACAUGCAAGUCGAGCGAACGGACGAGAAGCUUGCUUCUCUGAUGUUAGCGGCGGACGGGUGAGUAACACGUGGAUAACCUACCUAUAAGACUGGGAUAACUUCGGGAAACCGGAGCUAAUACCGGAUAAUAUUUUGAAACGCAUGGUUCAAAAGUGAAAGACGGUCUUGCUGUCACUUAUAGAUGGAUCCGCGCUGCAUUAGCUAGUUGGUAAGGUAACGGCUUACCAAGGCAACGAUGCAUAGCCGACCUGAGAGGGCGAUCGGCCACACUGGAACUGAGACACGGUCCAGACUCCUACGGGAGGCAGCAGUAGGGAAUCUUCCGCAAUGGGCGAAAGCCUGACGGAGCAACGCCGCGUGAGUGAUGAAGGUCUUCGGAUCGUAAAACUCUGUUAUUAGGGAAGAACAUAUGUGUAAGUAACUGUGCACAUCUUGACGGUACCUAAUCAGAAAGCCACGGCUAACUACGUG
rnacentral:rRNA from 1 species